rnacentral:rRNA from 1 species
GAUGAACGCUGGCGGCGUGCCUAAUACAUGCAAGUCGAGCGAACAGACGAGGAGCUUGCUCCUUCGACGUUAGCGGCGGACGGGUGAGUAACACGUAGGUAACCUACCUAUAAGACUGGGAUAACUUCGGGAAACCGGAGCUAAUACCGGAUAAUAUUUCGAACCGCAUGGUUCGAUAGUGAAAGAUGGCUUUGCUAUCACUUAUAGAUGGACCUGCGCCGUAUUAGCUAGUUGGUAAGGUAACGGCUUACCAAGGCAACGAUACGUAGCCGACCUGAGAGGGUGAUCGGCAACACUGGAACUGAGACACGGUCCAGACUCCUACGGGAGGCAGCAGUAGGGAAUCUUCCGCAAUGGGCGAAAGCCUGACGGAGCAACGCCGCGUGAGUGAUGAAGGUCUUCGGAUCGUAAAACUCUGUUAUUAGGGAAGAACAAACGUGUAAGUAACUGUGCACGUCUUGACGGUACCUAAUCAGAAAGCCACGGCUAACUACGUG